rnacentral:lncRNA from 1 species
UUCCAAUUAUUAACCCACCAACCACACCAGGGAAGGGAGGGAACACUCCAUGCCCACCACCAAAGUCUCCUGCGCAGGCUACGUGCCCCAUUGACACGCUCAAACUUGGUGCCUGUGUGGAUCUUCUUGGAGGGUUGGUUCACAUUGGUUUGGGUGACCCUGUUGCGAACCAGUGCUGCCCCGUGCUUCAAGGGCUUGUUGAGGUUGAAGCUGCGGUGUGUCUUUGCACCACUCUUAAACUGAAGCUUCUCAACCUCAACAUUUAUGUCCCACUUGCCCUUCAGCUCCUUGUGACUUGUGGCAAGUCUCCUCCUCCUGGUUACACGUGCUCCCUCUAAACUAGUUAAGUGCCAGAAAUCCAUGAACCUUUUUUUCCUUCCUUUUUUUUAUUCAAUAAUUAACGGUGUGAGCUACACAGUAUAUGAAUAGCAAUUUUCUUUCUUUCUGUAAAUCUCCUACCCAGUUUUCUCCUAAUGAAAAUUAAUCUUGACUUAGAAAUUGAAGUAUAUUUAGUAUUCAAUCAUUUAACUUCUCUUAAUCUUUGACCUUCUUCUUUGGAAGGAGCUAGUACCAUGCAUGGUUGUCUACUUUGUCUUCUAUUAUUUCUCUUUAAAUUUCUGUCUUGGAAAGCUAAUUGUGACCCAUGCAUGCUAUUAAGUUUGUGACCAAGAAAGUAAUCAAAGGUUUUUUUUUUUAUUGAAAUAAUGAUCAUGAUAGGAUAUGCUUUUUAAUUAAAGAGAUUAGACGUUACUUUGACUACGUCAUAAGCAAGAAAAGUUGUCCAAACACCAACUUUCCUAUCCAUAUUCAAAUAGAAAUUGUUAAAUUAAUUAAAACAUUUCAAGUAGAAAAGCACAAUAUUUAUGCAUAAAAUUAUAAUAUUACGUUUAUAAUUUCUGUUUAAACAAUUCAAUAAAAAAAUAUACAUUUCAACACUUUUCUCCAUUUUUUCUAAUAAAAACAAUAUAAAGUUUUUUUGAGUAAAUGUAUCAUUUUUGCAAUCUGUCUUUUUCCUCUUUUUUUUUUAAGCUGAUGCUAUAUAUGAUUAUGAAUGUUGUCCAGCACACUAUAUGCUAUGCGUGAUUUAAUUUCUAUUUCGUAUCAGUAAAGUAAUUAUAUCGUCCUUUAAUCUACCCGUGAACUUUGAAAUCUUUGUCUCAUUGUAUGUCAUGGCCUAUGCUUUG